rfam:Gossypium hirsutum cultivar TM-1 chromosome 13, whole genome shotgun sequence
AUGCCGUGAUGAGGGCACUUUCAUAAUAACUCCUGGAAUCGCUCCCAUGCCUCAUAUAAAGAUUCUUUAUCAAGUUGCUAAAAUGAAGUGAUUUCAUUUUGGAUCUU